rnacentral:piRNA from 1 species
UUGCUUUGAAUUGGUGACCUUUACCCCUGU